rnacentral:rRNA from 1 species
CCUACGGGAGGCUGCAGUAGGGAAUUUUGCGCAAUGGGGGAAACCCUGACGCAGCAACGCCGCGUGGAGGAUGAAGGUUUUCGGAUUGUAAACUCCUUUUGUUAGAGAAGAUAAUGACGGUAUCUAACGAAUAAGCACCGGCUAACUCCGUGCCAGCAGCCGCGGUAAUACGGAGGGUGCAAGCGUUGCUCGGAAUCACUGGGCGUAAAGAGCGCGUAGGCGGGAUAGCAAGUCAGAUGUUAAAUCCGAUGGCUUAACCAUAGAACUGCAUUUGAAACUGUUAUUCUAGAGUGUGGGAGAGGUAAGUGGAAUUCUUGGUGUAGGGGUAAAAUGCGUAGAGAUCAAGAGGAAUACUCAUUGCGAAGGCGACCUGCUAGAACAUAACUGACGCUGAGGCGCGAAAGCGUGGGGAGCAAACAGGAUUAGAUACCCCUGUAGUC